AGGACGAACGCUGGCGGCGUGCCUAACACAUGCAAGUCGAACGAAGCAUUGAGAGCUUGCUUUGAUGCUUAGUGGCGGACGGGUGAGUAACGCGUGAGCAACCUGCCUUUCAGAGGGGGAUAACGUUUGGAAACGAACGCUAAUACCGCAUAACAUAUUCGAAUCGCAUGGUUUGAAUAUCAAAGGAGCAAUCCACUGAAAGAUGGGCUCGCGUCCGAUUAGCUAGUUGGUGAGAUAACAGCCCACCAAGGCGACGAUCGGUAGCCGGACUGAGAGGUCGAACGGCCACAUUGGGACUGAGACACGGCCCAGACUCCUACGGGAGGCAGCAGUGGGGGAUAUUGCACAAUGGAGGAAACUCUGAUUGCAGCAACGCCGCGUGAGGGAAGAAGGAUUUCGGUUUGUAAACCUCUGUCAUUGGUGACGAUAAUGACGGUAGCCAAUGAGGAAGCUCCGGCUAACUACGUGCCAGCAGCGGC
rnacentral:rRNA from 1 species